AACCUCCACCCGUGAAUACCUGACCAACGUUGCUUCGGCGGUGCGCCCCCCCCCCGGGGGUAGCCGCCGGAGACCACACCGAACCUCCUGUCUUUAGUGUUGUCUGAGCUUGAUAGCAAACCUAUUAAAACUUUCAACAAUGGAUCUCUUGGUUCCGGCAUCGAUGAAGAACGCAGCGAACUGCGAUAAGUAAUGUGAAUUGCAAAAUUCAGUGAAUCAUCGAGUCUUUGAACGCACAUUGCGCCCCCUGGCAUUCCGGGGGGCAUGCCUGUCCGAGCGUCAUUGCUGCCCUUCAAGCCCGGCUUGUGUGUUGGGUCGUCGUCCCCCCCGGGGGACGGGCCCAAAAGGCAGCGGCGGCACCGCGUCCGGUCCUCGAGCGUAUGGGGCUUUGUCACCCGCUCGAUUAGGGCCGGCCGGGCGCCAGCCGGCGUCUCCAACCUUCUAUUUUACCAGGUUGACCUCGGAUCAGGUAGGGAUACCCGCUGAACUUAAGCAUAUCAAUAAGCGGAGGAA
rnacentral:rRNA from 1 species